rnacentral:lncRNA from 1 species
AUCCAAAAUAUUCAUACAUUACCAUCCAAAUGAACCAAGUAUCAAGUAUACAUCAUCAUUGCAUAUUCGAUUCAAAAUUGAAAGUACCAACUAUCUUAUAGCUAAAACAAAAAUCUAUCAUACUAUGUAUUCUAGCACUAAGUCCUCAAGAACUAGUUGCUCUUUCCUGAAAUCCUUCUUCCUCAUGAAAGUAAUCUGCAAUAGAGAUUUAGUGAAAAAUGAAGAAUGACCGCUACCUUCAGAAUUAUUAAAGUGACAAACUAAAAAAAUAGGCACCAAGAUAGGCAAUCGUAUGAGGUAGCUUAAAGUGCACCUGAGCCCUUCUUUUCUCUUCCAUCUCUU